AUACUGACCUGGCGGGGAGAUAUCAUGCUUACAAAGGUGAUUUUUCCUAGGGCAAGGCUUAUCCAUUGCACUCUGGAUGUGCUGACCCCUGUGAUUCUUCCCCGCCCUCCCCCCCCAAAAAUUUUUUUUUUAAAUAAUAAAAUUAGUUUAUAUGUC